rnacentral:rRNA from 1 species
UACGUAGGGGGCAAGCGUUGUCCGGAUUUACUGGGCGUAAAGAGCGCGUAGGCGGAACGUUAAGUCCGGUUUGAAAGCCCCCGGCUCAACCGGGGAGAGUGGCUGGAAACUGGCGUUCUUGAGGGCGAUAGAGGAGUGUGGAAUUCCUGGUGUAGCGGUGAAAUGCGUAGAGAUCAGCAGGAACACCCGUGGCGAAGGCGGCUUCCUGGGCCGCGCCUGACGCUGAGACGCGAAAGCGUGGGGAGCGAACGGG